UCACCGUAAAACUACAACCCUUUGUUGCCUGUCACUCAGCCACUGCCUUGUUGAAUGGGUAAGGCAGUGGCUGAGUGACAGGCAACAGAGGGUUGUAGUCAAU